GUAAGCUUUUGCUGAAUUACAAGAUUUUCUCCCUUUCUCCAUAUUAUCUAUCUACUAUCAUAUUUUUCUUCUUUUUCUCUCCUUUAAUUGACAUCAGCCAAAAAUUUAUCUUUCAGGGACAGUGUAUUUAGAGAAAAAAAUACAACAAGAUCACCUACCAAGUUUAACUUGUCCAUGUCUCUUUCUGUUCAGUUUCCUUUCACAUGGCUCUCUUAUUUCACCCACUAUCUUCAAUGGAGAGAACUAUCAAGUUUGGGCAGUGAAGAUGAAAACAUACUUAAAGGGUCUUGGAUUAUGGAAGUAUAUAUGUUGAUGAAGACAACGCUCCAGAACCUUUGAGAGCAAACCAAAAUCUUCAAUAGAUCAGAAGUCAUGAAGAAGAGAUCGAGAAAAGGUGAAAGUUUGUAUUGAUAGAAUCAUGAAAAUUGUCAAUCAGAUCACAUUGAUAGACAAAAAAGUAGAAGAGCAAAGGGUUGUUCAGAAAGUGAUGGUGACACUUCAGGAAAAGUUUGAAGAAAAAAUUUUCUCAAUUAAAGAUACUAGGAUAUGUCUCGUGUCACAUUGAUUGAAUUAUCCAAUACUCUUCUAGCUUUGGAGAAAAUGGAAGCUUUUAGAGAGGAAGAGAGUACAACUGAAAUUGCUCUUGUGGCUGUUCAAUUAUCUAAAGCUCAAUUCGAUGGUGAAUCAAAAAGGCAACCAAAUGGGAAGACAUGGUAAGGAAAAGACGGAGCAAUAUAACAACUGAGGGAGAUAUAGAAUUAAGAACCGAGUAUCCACAUUGUCCCUAUUGUAAAAAUACCAAUCAUACAUACUCGUUUUAUUGGUGUAGUCCUAGAGUUCAAUGCAAGGUGUGGAAACAGUUUGAUCAUGUGGAUAAGGUGUGCAAAACAAAUCAAAACCACCCGGCUCAAGUUACUGAAAAUGUUGAAGAUCAUGAAGAGAAGUUGUUUGCUGCUUCUAUUAUUGCUGGAGAAUGCAAUAUGGCAGCUUAAGAUCAUGAUGUGGCUUGUUGAUAGUUGAUGCAUGCAUCAAAUGACAACUGUAAUACCCUACAUUGAAAUUGAUCGAAGGAAGCCUCAUAGAUUUCUCUGCGAGUUUGGUACCUUAGUGAUUUCUUUGACAAGUUUGGUGCAUCAACACAAGUACUAGAAGACAGGUGACUUGGGCUUGGUCUAUUGCUUUCAAGUUGAUAAUUUCCGGUCAUUUCUUCGGGGCUUAGGUAAAUAUGGAAGAGGUGACUGGAAGAGUAUAUCUAGGCAUUGUGUGAUAACAAGAACCGCAAUGCAGGUAGCUACCCAUGCCCAAAAAUAUUUCAAGAGCAUUGAAGCAAACCAAAAAAGGAACAGAAGAGAAAGAGCAAAACCAAGUGUGCUUGAUAUAAUUAGCGUGGAUGCUGAAUUCGGUGGAACUUUCCAAGUUCCAAACACCGUGGACCUGAUUAAACCUGAUUGCGGAGGAUCACAAGAAGUGCCUAACAGUAGCAACGAGAGCAUGUUUCCUCAAGAAAUCACCAUUGCCGAGCAGAUGACAACAGUUGUUGGAGGAGAGCUAUCAAGCCAAAAUGCUUUUGUGAAUUUUGACACUCGCGAUCAUGACGAUGAAGCCACAUUAAAUCUGCAUGACCUGUUCACAUAUCAGAUGUUCUGAUUUGCUGCACUUCUUUUUUUUGAAGACUUACUCCAUUAUGUUACACAAAUAUUGCUCUCAUUCUUAAUCUGCUUAAGACAGUUUUAUUAGAGAGGUGGAUUUUGGUUGAAAAUUUUCAACUAAAAACUUUGCAAGUAUUUCAAAGUUCUUUUCUUUAA